CGGCGGACGGGUGAGUAACGCGUGGGCAACCUGCCUCAUACAGGGGGAUAACAGUUAGAAAUGACUGCUAAUACCGCAUAAGACCACGGUACCGCAUGGUACAGUGGUAAAAACUCCGGUGGUAUGAGAUGGACCCGCGUCUGAUUAGGUAGUUGGUGGGGUAACGGCCUACCAAGCCGACGAUCAGUAGCCGACCUGAGAGGGUGACCGGCCACAUUGGGACUGAGACACGGCCCAG
rnacentral:rRNA from 1 species